AUGCAGCAGGCGACCCAGAGCGGGGAGGCGUGGCUUCGGCAGCAGGAGAGCAUGUUGGCGCCAUGGACGUGGCCGUCGCACGGCUGGCAGGGCCCCGCAGCGUCUGCCCGGCAGUACACCACGGACGCCGCACAAGCAGCACUCCGCGCUGUGGGCACCAUGCAUGUCGGCAGCAAAGCCCUGGCACCCUACAUUGCAGAUUUUCAAGUGAAGAUUUCCACAAAACUUAAUAUGAGAACCAGACUCCAAGAUUAUUUUCCCAGAGAACCAGGAGUCUUGGAUGAACACCACAUGUACAAAUAUGUGACUGGAAAGGCAGACACAAUGAAAUCGGGUAAAAUAGGGAAUCAUCGGGAAAAGAAAAAUGAAGACAGAGUGAAAACCUAG
rnacentral:rRNA from 1 species